CCUAGAGUUGUAGGCUUUGCCUGCUAUCUCUUACCCAUGUCUUUUGAGUACCUUACGUUUCCUCGGCGGGUUCGCCCACCGAUUGGACAAAUUUAAACCAUUUGCAGUUGCAAUCAGCGUCUGAAAAAACUUAAUAGUUA
rnacentral:misc_RNA from 1 species